ensembl:miRNA
UUAUAUUAGGUUGGUGGAAAAGAAAUUGUGGUUUUGGCCAUUACUUUCAAUGGCCAAAACCAUAAUUACUUUUGCACCAACCUAA